AUCAAGCACCGAAAAAAUAAAUAAGGUGAGUUGUUUCUCAAAUUAGAAGUAUAUGACCUAUAUAAAAAGUGUAAACUAUCAACAAGUUCUUUUGUACAUAUAUCAUCAUCAAAUAUACUUCAUCAGUAGAAAGACAUCUUGCAGAAAAGUGUUGUCAUCAUGUAUCAAAAAGUAAAAUUCCCAUUUCAGACCUUGCGAUCUAUGGGGCAGAUGUUGUAAAGGACAUCUGUUUAUAUGACCCACUGUUAACGAGGUAUCAUGUGACCAGCACAAAGAUCAACCGCUUUUACUUUUCAUUAACUAAUGUCAGGUACCCAUUAAAGCUGGUUGGACUCAGAGGCGUCGUAAAGAUCCCGAAAUUAUAAUUCCUGUCUUCUCCAGGAUUUGAACUCAAGACUUUUCACUUCUGAAGCCAAUCGCUUAAUCACCUCCCCUCCUUCAUGUAUUAACAAGUUUUUUUCUUUCUUAUUUUUUUUCAGAAACCUUUGCUUGACAACAGA